UACAGAGGGUGCAAGCGUUGUUCGGAAUUACUGGGCGUAAAGGGCGCGUAGGCGGUUUAACAAGUCAGGUGUGAAAUCCCCGGAGCUUAACUCGGGACGUGCAUUUGAAACUGUUAGACUUGAGUGCAUUAGAGGUUGGCGGAAUACCCAGUGUAGAGGUGAAAUUCGUAGAUAUUGGGUAGAACACCAGUGGCGAAGGCGGCGACCUGGUCCUUGACUGACGCUGAGGCGCGAAAGCGUGGGGAGCAAACAGGGAUUAAGAAACCCUAGUAA
rnacentral:rRNA from 1 species